rnacentral:rRNA from 1 species
UACAGAGGUCUCAAGCGUUGUUCGGAUUCAUUGGGCGUAAAGGGUGCGUAGGCGGCGCGGUAAGUCGGGUGUGAAAUCUCGGGGCUUAACUCCGAAACUGCAUUCGAUACUGCCGUGCUUGAGGACUGGAGAGGGAUGUGGAAUUCCAGGUGUAGCGGUGAAAUGCGUAGAUAUCUGGAGGAACACCGGUGGCGAAGGCGGCAUCCUGGACCGACAUUGACGCUGAGGCGCGAAAGCCAGGGGAGCAAACGGG